CGUAAAGACGCAUGCAGGUGGUUUGUUUAAGUUCAGAUGUGAAAGACCCGGGGCGUCAACCUCCGGAAUUGCAUUUGUAAACUAGGCAGACUAGAGUACUGUAGAGGGGGGUAGGGAAGUUUCUAGGUGUAGCGGUGAAAUAGCGUAGAGAUCUGAAGGAAUACCGGUGGCGAAGGCGGCCCCCUCGGACAGAUACUGACACUCAGAUGCGAAAGCGUGGGGAGCAAACAGGAUUAGAUACCCUGGUAG
rnacentral:rRNA from 1 species